UUCUAAGACUAGAACUUGCCAGCCAGGCGCUAAAGUAGAGGACAUUGUACAGCAUGUUGACACUUCAGUUGCACUUACCAAGGGACAUUCUCUUUUUGUAGGAGCUUAAUUUCUUGAAAGUUGUAAAUCAUGAGAGAUGUUUAAAAAGUAUAAACUCCUUCAGAGAUUUAGUGCUCACUCAGACAAGAUGUGGAGAUGAAUUACUUAGCAAAGUCUCCAACACUAUAUGAAAGUUUAUCAGAGAUAUGUUUAGAGCAACAAGUGGACUAGUUGGACCCAUAGGUUUUUUGGGGAAACUCUAAAGAAAUUCAUAAAGGAAGUUUAAACUCAAUUUGCUUAGUGGUUUGGAAUGUGGAUAACAGAGGAAAUAUUAUGUUUGCACAGAAAGUUGAAUUUAUACAGUCUGAAGUAAUCUAGCAAAAAUGAAAAGCUCUCUCAGUCUUUACAAAACGUAAAACAAUAUGGGUAUGAUAUGGAGCUGUUUUUUUGUCAACUGUGGCCAAAGAUGUUCAACAGGACCUGUAACCUAUGUUUUUAAAUGUCAUCAUGCAGAACUUUUGCUUAAUCCUCUUCAAGAAUGCAGGAAGAGAUGUACAAGUGGAGCUGAUGUUACAAAUCAAAUGAACAACCAUGUUCAGGUGGUCAAUGCUACUUUUGUUAACAUUAGCAUAUCUGGUCAGUAAAAUGCUGCUUUCAGUGUCAUUGUACUGAAUCCUUUAAUAAAUCCAGUUAUUUCUUCAUCA